GUCCCUGUAGUGCAAUGAAUAGCACUUUGGACCUUAUCCAAAGGCUGUGGGUUCGAAUUCUACCUGAGACG